rnacentral:rRNA from 1 species
UACGUAGGGUGCGAGCGUUAAUCGGAAUUACUGGGCGUAAAGUGUGCGCAGGUGGCCGCGCAAGUCGAGUGUGAAAUCCCCGAGCUUAACUUGGGAAUUGCGCUCGAAACUGCGUGGCUCGAGUGUGGCAGAGGAAGGUGGAAUUCCACGUGUAGCGGUGAAAUGCGUAGAGAUGUGGAGGAACACCGAUGGCGAAGGCAGCCUUCUGGGCCAACACUGACGCUCAUGCACGAAAGCGUGGGGAGCAAACAGG